rnacentral:rRNA from 1 species
ACACGACUCUCGGCAUCGGAUAUCUAGGCUCUCGCAUCGAUGAAGAACGUAGCAAACUGCGAUACUUGGUGUGAAUUGCAGAAUCCCGUGAACCAUCGAGUCUUUGAACGCAAGUUGCGCCCGAAGCCAUUAGGCCGAGGGCACGUCUGCCUGGGCGUCACGCAUCGCGU